rnacentral:misc_RNA from 1 species
UAAACUCAAAAGAAUUAUUGGAUCGGAUAGUUUGUGUCAAGUCUGGUUCAAGGAAGUCAUUGUUCAACGUUUUUCAAGAUGGAAUAUGCCAUCCUAAGAUGGCAUUGGUGAUUGAUGAUCGUUUAAAAGUGUGGGAUGAGAAAGAUCAACCUCGGGUGCAUGUUGUUCCUGCAUUUGCUCCAUACUAUGCUCCACAAGCUGAAGCAAAUAAUGCUGUUCCAGUGUUGUGUGUUGCAAGAAAUGUUGCCUGCAAUGUCAGAGGUGGUUUCUUCAAAGAAUUUGAUGAGGGUCUUAUACAAAGGAUAACUGAGAUUUCAUAUGAAGAUGAUAUGAGCGACAUCCCUUCUCCCCCUGAUGUGAGCAACUAUUUAGUUUCAGAGGAUGAUACUGCUAACUCAAAUGGACACAAAGAUCCACUUUUGUUUGAUGGCAUGG